CUGCAGUUCUCCCGUGGGCCCACCAGAAGUCUUGCAAAUGCUCCCUAAGGAGUAAGCCUGCAAAAACUUUCAAAAAAUUCUUGUGAUGCAAGGGGGUACGUAGGGGAUUACAGUGUCAUUGUCACGAUCAUUGUUUUAAAACAUCUGCCGUGGAGGCUUUCUGCAUUAGAGAGAGACAUUCAGGAAACCCGAGGGGUGCGCUGUGCCAAACAGGUUGUGAGUCAGAGCUCCUCUUGGGGGGCCGGAGGGGGGGGGCGCCUUCUCCUGCUUCCUUUCCCAUUCAGCCAGAGCAUCAUGAAACAUUGAUUAAACCCCUACAAUGGGCCUAGCCCUGUUGUGGGGGCCAGGUCGGUUUCUGGGGGUGCAUGGGCUGGGAGCACAAGUGUCCUGGUCCCGGAGUGUGGCGAGCUUCCGGAGACUUUGAUCAACUCCAUCUCCUUUCUGAGUUCCAGUGUCCCCCAUGCCGAAGGUCCUGAUGCCAUCCUAGCCUCCGUUGGACUCUGGAAUGCUUUUGGGAGCUGCCUAGCACGGCUCCUGCUCUGGGUUUUGGACCUUGAAAAACACCUGAUACAUAAAAACCUGGCACUCAGUCAAUGCCAACCGAAUGGGUGAGCCAUUCAAUCCGGUCUCCUGUUUCUUUAGCAAUUUCCCCAACAAUUUAUAAACAUAUUAUUAAAGCAGCAAAAUGUCUCUGGUUCUUCUCCCAUGUGAAUGUCAUCAGCCUAAUUUGAUUCUUUGCAGUUAUUUGAGAAGAGCCCUCCCGGCCUUUGAAAGUAAGGAGCAGGAUAUAUGGAAUAGAUCCCUCACAUGUGGCAAAUCUGGAUAAUACAGAUAUUGGCUUCCAAGAUGGGGAAACUGAGGGAGAAGAGGAGAAGGAACUUCAUAUCGCAGAGAUCGGCAUCCAGUUUGGUUGCUCUGGAACAAACAAGAGAAGAGUGCUUCUGAGUACAUAGAUCCUCCUUUGGAUGCAUAAUAAGGAUCUCAUGAGGCAUCCAGAAUGGAAACAACUGUCCAAGCCACCGCAGGAAGCUUACACCCCACGUUCCCAGGCAGAAGUGUGGAUGUUUCCAAACCUAACAGUCUUGGUCCUGGUAAUGCAGUUCACUAAUGAAAUUUCCAUCAUGUUUCUGCUGUCUCAGCGUUUUUACUCAUACUAAGACUUACAAGGCCUCAGCUGCACUUCCCACAUAGCUGAGGGGUAUUAGAGGCUGCAUCACAGUGUGCUGUGGGGCUGGGGAGAGUAGGCUGGGCCAGGACGGGCAGGACAUUAGCAUUAUGGGUUAAUUAAGAUAUGGCGAAUUAAUUGAGGAAUCAUUUUUCUGUAUUAUAAGUACAAUGAUGCAUAGCCAAUGCAAACAUUGCCACAACAUAGAAAUAUACAGACUUCAAAGGAAAAGGUCAGGACACACACAUAAGUGUACACAAUCCCUGCUAUUCCCCAGAGGUAACCACAGUUAACUGUUUGUGGUAUCCUUCCAGAACUUCUGCUAUGCAUUUGCAUACAAAUACAUAUACAGAUGUGUUCAUGUUAAAAAAAAAAACGUAUAAAUGUGGUUGUUUUAUACGUAAUGUUCUGUAACUUGCUUUUUUUGAUUUAACAAGUUGAUUUUUUUUGUCUUAGCACAAAAU
ensembl:lncRNA